rnacentral:rRNA from 1 species
GUGAGGAAUAUUGGUCAAUGGGCGGGAGCCUGAACCAGCCAAGUCGCGUGAAGGAAGAAGGAUCUAUGGUUCGUAAACUUCUUUUGCAGGGGAAUAAAGUGCAGGACGUGUCCUGUUUUGUAUGUACCCUGAGAAUAAGGAUCGGCUAACUCCGUGCCAGCAGCCGCGGUAAUACGGAGGAUCCGAGCGUUAUCCAGAUUUAUUGGGUUUAAAGGGUGCGUAGGUGGUUUGAUAAGUCAGCGGUGAAAGUUUGCAGCUUAACUGUAAAAAUGCCGUUGAAACUGUCGGACUUGAGUGUAAAUGAGGUAGGCGGAAUGCGUGGUGUAGCGGUGAAAUGCAUAGAUAUCACGCAGAACUCCGAUUGCGAAGGCAGCUUACUAAGCUACAACUGACACUGAAGCACGAAAGCGUGGGGAUCAAACAGGAUUAGAAACCCGAGUAGUCC